CAGCUCACCAGUCUGGUAGGAACCAUUCAGUCCUCCUAUGCCUUCUUUCUCCAACUGUGUGGUCUUUCUUCUGAAACAAAGAAGAAAUAGCCAAAUCAGAAUUGCCCUCUUGGAAUUGUGGUCCAGAUUUCUCUACUCCCAAGCUUCACAAAU
rfam:Echinops telfairi cont1.406811, whole genome shotgun sequence.